rnacentral:rRNA from 1 species
GACGAACGCUGGCGGCGUGCUUAACACAUGCGAGUCGAACGGUAAGGCCCUUCGGGGUACACGAGUGGCGAACGGGUGAGUAACACGUGGGUGAUCUGCCCUGCACUUCGGGAUAAGCCUGGGAAACUGAGUCUAAUACCGGAUAGGACCACUGCCUGCAUGGGUGGGGGUGGAAAGCUUUUGCGGUGUGGGAUGGGCCCGCGGCCUAUCAGCUUGUUGGUGGGGUGAUGGCCUACCAAGGCGACGACGGGUAGCCGGCCUGAGAGGGUGACCGGCCACACUGGGACUGAGAUACGGCCCAGACUCCUACGGGAGGCAGCAGUGGGGAAUAUUGCACAAUGGGCGCAAGCCUGAUGCAGCGACGCCGCGUGAGGGAUGACGGCCUUCGGGUUGUAAACCUCUUUCAGCACCGACGAAGCGCAAGUGACGGUAGGUGCAGAAGAAGGACCGGCCAACUACGUGCCAGCCGCCGCCGUAA